AGCGAACGCUGGCGGCAGGCUUAACACAUGCGAGUCGAGCGGGCCUUUCGGGGUCAGCGGCGGACGGGUGAGUAACGCGUGGGAACGUGCCCUCUGGUUCGGAAUAACUCAGGGAAACUUGAGCUAAUACCGGAUACGCCCUUUUGGGGAAAGGCUUGCUGCCGGAGGAUCGGCCCGCGUCUGAUUAGCUAGUUGGUGAGGUAACGGCUCACCAAGGCGACGAUCAGUAGCUGGUCUGAGAGGAUGAUCAGCCACACUGGGACUGAGACACGGCCCAGACCCCCACGGGAGGCAGCAGGGGGGAAUAUUGGACAAUGGGCGCAACCCUGAUCCAGCCCUGCCGGGUGGGUGAUGAAGGCCUUAGGGUUGUAAAGCUCUUUUAUCCGGGACGAUAAUGACGGUACCGGAGGAAUAAGCCCCGGCUAACUUCGU
rnacentral:rRNA from 1 species